CAAGAGACUCUUUAAAGCUCAGGAGGGAUAGCGCCGCUUAUAUCUAUAUAUUUAUAUGGUAAUUGGCGCUAUCCAUCCUGAGUUUUAUGGAUUCUUUUU
rnacentral:pre_miRNA from 1 species